rnacentral:lncRNA from 1 species
UCGUACACGCGAUUUUCAUCGAUACGCAUGUGCUGGUUUAAAUUUUCAAAACUUGCAACUGUGUUUUGUUCAUCAAUGAUGUUAUAAAAACACUCUUGUCUUUUUAAUUCCAAAUUUUGCAUUGGGAACUUAUCAUUGUCAUUUCUAUGGCUUGCCAUUCGUAAACCAAUGGUUGUUUUCCGACACAAAUUUCUCAUCUUUC